UACGUAGGGUGCAAGCGUUAAUCGGAAUUACUGGGCGUAAAGCGUGCGCAGGCGGCUUUGCAAGACAGAUGUGAAAUCCCCGGGCUUAACCUGGGAACUGCAUUUGUGACUGCAUGGCUGGAGUGCGGCAGAGGGGGAUGGAAUUCCGCGUGUAGCAGUGAAAUGCGUAGAGAUGUGGAGGAACACCGAUGGCGAAGGCAGCCCCCUGGGCCAACACUGACGCUCAGGCACGAAAGCGUGGGGAGCAAACAGG
rnacentral:rRNA from 1 species